rnacentral:rRNA from 1 species
GUCCUUUAGGUUUAAUUAAAGGUCUGACCUGCCCACUGAAAUUAUUGAAGGGCCGCAGUAUUUUGACUGUGCAAAGGUAGCAUAAUCAUUAGUUUUUUAAUUAAAAGCUUGUAUGAAGGGUUGGACGAAGUAAAAUCUGUCUCUAUUAAAUUUAUAAUAGAAUUUAAUUUUUAAGUUAAAAAGCUUAAAUUUUUAUAAAAGACGAGAAGACCCUAUAGAGCUUUAUAUAAAUUAUUUUAAUAUAAUUUAAGAAUAAUUUAGUUUUUAAAUUUAGUUUAUAUUUUGUUGGGGUAAUAAUUAGAUUAAAUUAAUUCUUUUUAAGUAAAUACAUUGAUUAAUGGUUAAUUGAUCCAAAAUUUUUGAUUAUAAGAUUAAGUUACCUUAGGGAUAACAGCGUAAUUUUUUUUGAGAGUUCAUAUCGAUAAAAAAGUUUGCGACCUCGAUGUUGGAUUAAAAAUUAUUCUGGGUGUAGAAGUUCAGAAUUUUGGUCUGUUCGACCAUUAAAUUUUU